rnacentral:rRNA from 1 species
UACGUAGGUGGCAAGCGUUGUCCGGAAUUAUUGGGCGUAAAGCGCGCGCAGGCGGUUCCUUAAGUCUGAUGUGAAAGCCCACGGCUCAACCGUGGAGGGUCAUUGGAAACUGGGGAACUUGAGUGCAGAAGAGGAGAGUGGAAUUCCACGUGUAGCGGUGAAAUGCGUAGAGAUGUGGAGGAACACCAGUGGCGAAGGCGACUCUCUGGUCUGUAACUGACGCUGAGGCGCGAAAGCGUGGGGAGCAAACAGG